rnacentral:tRNA from 4 species
GCCGUUGUAGCUUAGUGGUAAAGCACUGUCUUGGUAAGACAGAGACCGUGAGUCCGAUCCUCACCAACGGCUCCA